GACGAACGCUGGCGGCGUGCUUAACACAUGCAAGUCGAACGGAAAGGCCCUGCUUUUGUGGGGUGCUCGAGUGGCGAACGGGUGAGUAACACGUGAGUAACCUGCCCUUGACUUUGGGAUAACUUCAGGAAACUGGGGCUAAUACCGGAUAGGAGCUCCUGCUGCAUGGUGGGGUUGGAAAGUUUCGGCGGUUGGGGAUGGACUCGCGGCUUAUCAGCUUGUUGGUGGGGUAGUGGCUUACCAAGGCUUUGACGGGUAGCCGGCCUGAGAGGGUGACCGGCCACAUUGGGACUGAGAUACGGCCCAGACUCCUACGGGAGGCAGCAGUGGGGAAUAUUGCACAAUGGGCGGAAGCCUGAUGCAGCAACGCCGCGUGCGGGAUGACGGCCUUCGGGUUGUAAACCGCUUUCGCCUGUGACGAAGCGUGAGUGACGGUAAUGGGUAAAGAAGCACCGGCUAACUACGUA
rnacentral:rRNA from 1 species